rnacentral:rRNA from 1 species
UACGAAGGGGGCUAGCGUUGCUCGGAAUUACUGGGCGUAAAGGGCGCGUAGGCGGACAGUUUAGUCAGAGGUGAAAGCCCAGGGCUCAACCCUGGAAUUGCCUUUGAUACUGGCUGUCUUGAGUACGGGAGAGGUGUGUGGAACUCCGAGUGUAGAGGUGAAAUUCGUAGAUAUUCGGAAGAACACCAGUGGCGAAGGCGACACACUGGCCCCGUUACUGACGCUGAGGCGCGAAAGCGUGGGGAGCAAACAGG